ensembl:lncRNA
AUGAGAGCCCACAUCUGCCCGAUUCCGGAACCCCUGGCCUUCCCUUGCACCUACCGUCUCCUUUCUGGACAUCCCACAUGUGACUGUAGCCGUUGGUCAGAGCUCCGUUUUCUGACCAUGUCUCUGCUACAGCCUGCCUCCUGUUGGCCCUACAGAAAUUCAAACCAAGUCUUCCAGAAACAGCUACCAGAAACAACUGCAUUUUUUUUUUUAAAGAUUUUAUUUAUUUAUUUGAGAGAGAGAGACAGUGAGAGAGAGCAUGAGCGAGGAGAAGGUCAGAGAGCGAAGCAGACUCCCCAUGGAGCUGGGAGCCUGAUGUGGGACUCGAUCCCGGGACUCCAGGAUCACGCCCUGAGCCGAAGGCAGUCGUCCAACCAACUGAGCCACCCAGGCGUCCCAACAACUGCAUUUUUUAAAAAAGAUUUUAUUUAUUUAUUUGACAGACAGAGGUCUCAAGGAGGCAGGGAGGUAGGCAUGGGGCAGGGGAAGCAGGCUCCCCGCUGAGCAGAGAGCCUGAUGCGGGGCUCAAUCCCAGGACCCUGAGAUCAUGACCCGAGCUGAAGGCAGAGGCUUUAACCCACUGAGCCACCCAGACGCCCCGACAGUUACAUUAAAAAAAAAAAUUACAUAGCUGUGGGGCAGGGGUGGGUUUGGCCCCAUCAUUUUGCACUUGAGGAAACUGAAUGGGGACAGGCAAAGACCUGCCUCUGGACAGUAGUGGCCCAGGUUCUCCCAACUCCCAGUCACGCACCAGUGCCCUUCUGCCCCAAGGCCCUGCCCCUUGCAGGGAACUGGAAAACAAACAACAACAACAAAAAUAACACUCUGCCUCCAGGGCUUAUGAAUGUCCCUGCUAGAGAGGAGAAGAUGGAGUGAGGAUUAGGGUUAGAGUUAGGGUUAUCUGGCAAUCUGGUUAGCACCAGAUGCAUAUCAAAAAUGAGGGAAGCCAUGGUUAUUCCAUAACAACGUCCUCUCGAGGCCAACAGGCAGACCUCCGCGGGCCUCGGGCACGGCGCGAGUGUGUGGAGUGAGGGCAGGGAGAAUAUCGUGGCCGUAUUUUUGAGUCUUUCUGAAAAGGUUAGGUCUAGUCACUUAGCUGUGCAUGGAAAGAGACUUAGGAAGCAAUGAAAGAAAGAGCCGCCCUAACUCUGAUGUAGGAGUUUCUCAAUGUGGGGCAUCAGCUUGUCUGGUGAGAGCAGCUGUCCUCAAAGGGAAGAUGAAACAGAUUUUGCUCAAUGACACACUAUGGACAUAACUGUCCAAGUGUCUCAAAGUGCUCAGAGGAGCACCAGGGACACAGAUAAAAUUACCUUUAAAGGGAAUAGAAGAUUCUGAGACAGGACCAGUGUCAGGUGUGAAACAGGAAACCCACAGCCCAGAGCUGUUCUAGCUGAUCCUUCUGCAGAUAAAACCGAGUGGCUUAACGCCCUGAUCUUAGGCAGUCAUUAGAGCUUCAGCCCAAACCCCACAAGGAAGAAAAGCAGUUUUCAUUUUUUAAACAGAGAAACUUAAAAAACAUUGCUUUAACAAAAAAGCACACAUACAUUAUGUCCCCAAGAAUUGUAUUAAAAAAGAAAUGGUACACAUAAUGUUUUCAUUGUGACUAAAUGUAUCCCCAUCCGCCCGCUUUAAAUAAACAUUGAACUCUGGAUAAUGACA